rnacentral:rRNA from 1 species
AUGCACGCUGGCGGCGUGCCUCAUACCUGCCAGUCGAGCGCACAGAUGAGGAGCUUGCUCCUCUGACGUUAGCGGCGGACGGGUGAGUAACACGUGGAUAACCUACCUAUAAGACUGGGAUAACUUCGGGAAACCGGAGCUAAUACCGGAUAAUAUAUUGAACCGCAUGGUUCAAUAGUGAAAGACGGUUUUGCUGUCACUUAUAGAUGGAUCCGCGCCGCAUUAGCUAGUUGGUAAGGUAACGGCUUACCAAGGCAACGAUGCGUAGCCGACCUGAGAGGGUGAUCGGCCACACUGGAACUGAGACACGGUCCAGACUCCUACGGGAGGCAGCAGUAGGGAAUCUUCCGCAAUGGGCGAAAGCCUGACGGAGCAACGCCGCGUGAGUGAUGAAGGUCUUCGGAUCGUAAAACUCUGUUAUUAGGGAAGAACAAAUGUGUAAGUAACUAUGCACGUCUUGACGGUACCUAAUCAGAAAGCCACGGCUAACUACGUG